rnacentral:rRNA from 1 species
CCCUUAGAUGUUCUGGGCCGCACGCGUGCUACACUGAGUGGAUCAGCGGGUCAGGUUACGCGAGAGCGUUUCCUAAUCUUCAAAUCCGCUCGUGAUGGGGAUUGACGGUUGCAAUUUUCCGUCAUGAACGAGGAAUACCUUGUAAGCGCGGGUCAUCAUCCCGCGCUGAAUACGUCCCUGCCCUUUGUACACACCGCCCGUCGCUCCUACCGAUUGAGUGGUCCGGUGAGGCUUUGGGAUCUAAGCGAAAAGAGCGUUUCGCUCCUUUUGCUGGGAGAACCCAGUCGAACCUUAUCAUUUAGAGGAAGGAGAAGUCGUAACA